UACGGAGGGUGCAAGCGUUAAUCGGAAUUACUGGGCGUACAGGGUGCGUAGGUGGUCUGAUAAGUUAUGUGUGAAAUUCCUGGGCUCAACCUGGGGUGGUCAGAUAAGACUGUUAGACUCGAGUAUGGGAGAGGGUAGUGGAAUUUCCGGUGUAGCGGUGAAAUGCGUAGAGAUCGGAAGGAACACCAGUGGCGAAGGCGGCUACCUGGCCUAAUACUGACACUGAGGCACGAAAGCGUGGGGAGCAAACAGG
rnacentral:rRNA from 1 species